GAUACUAUUUGUAUCUGUGAGUAGGGUUAUGCUUGAAAUGAAAUGGAUAAUGCUGGAAACCCUAAGGAUAAAGGUUUACAAAGUCCUAAGAUAUUGGGUAGUGGUAUAUCACAGUGGUAGGAAAAUUUCAUAGCAUGCAUGAGAAGAGAAGAAAAUGAGAGGGGAGGAGAGAGGAGAGAACAAACCUUGGAGGUGACUCAUGCACGCAUCACUAUUUUUUUUUUAAUUAACUAAUUCAAUUUAAUUAUGUAUAGAUGAAAGCUGAAUGCAUUUUGAUUCAUUGGACACAAUGUCAAUGUAACUUUUCAUUUUUGAUUUUACAUGAUGUAGCAACACACCAUAUGUGCAGUCAUACAUGUACUAAGGUAAUAAUGUCUAUCUCAUUCCACCAUCUUUCUUGCCCCCAUGACUCCUCCUCAUCCUUCUCUUUGCCCAAAGUAUCAUCACUACUUCUUGGCUAUAUCUUUGAAGGGUUUCUGACUAAUAAACUGUCCUAAAUCAGUACUGUCCCAUAAAUAGUUACACUAUGAAAUCUCACCUCAUAUGUAAGAUGCAACACGUGUAACUAUUGUGGAUCUACAUCUAAUGUUGAUUAGUAUUGUAAUGUAAAUACUUACAGAGUGUUACCACUAGCAAUGGCAUAAGACAAGG
rnacentral:lncRNA from 1 species